AAGAGGCGUUAUGUGAGUGUGUAUUUUUUUUAUUGUUGAUUUUUAUUUCGCGUGCUGUGGAUUCCAAACGCAAGCGGUCAGUGCAGCAAUUAACUUGUUUAUCUACAAAAUAAAACUCGCAAUAAUAUUCAUUAUGCAGUGGGAAUUUGAUGCAUCAUUCAAAGCACAGCUAUAUAAAUCCAAGCGGAAAGUUUUACCAACUUACCUUCCAAUGUGCGAGUAGACUACAAGUAUAAAACUUUAUAAAUAAGCUAGCUUGACUAAUGCUUCCAGAAAUACAAACAUUAAUGGUGUAAACGUGACUCCCGAUGAAUGGAUGAUAAUAAUGUAGAAAAGUAACACUGUAAUAUUAUAUUUCAACAAUUUAUUAUAUUAAAGUCGAUCAUAUACAAAAUAUUUAUAACUAGAAAAUAUACAAACACGAGAUAUAUUUCAAUAAUUAAAACAUAACUACUUCAAACUAUAUAAAACAAUAACAAUAUA